ACCUGAAACACGACGUGUGGUACAAUUUUGAGGAAUAAGAAAUCACUCAAGUUCUACACUUCUCCGGUACUUCAAUUUAUCUGCUUUUACAAAUGGUUGGUACCAAAAUGGCAAUGAGACAGCUUAAUCGACCAAGUAAUCAUGGUUUAUGGUGGAACUACUAAGAUAAUGUUACCCUAUUGUUUUCUUGUUGUUAAAUGUACCGAUUACUGAUGCAGAAUGCUCUCUGCUCUGUAAUAUGUUAGAUUAAUCUGCGGACGUGACUUAGAGCUAUGAUAAACUGAAUUGUUUCUGUCACUUAUAAAUGGCUCUUUGUAUAAAUAACAAUUUGAUGGAGCUAUUUGUGCUACAAACACAGCUUAGUGUAGCUUAAUAUGUGUGCUUACAGGCUUAUCAAUUUAAUUGUAGCCUUGGACUUUGAACCUGCUAGCCACUUUCAUAACCUGUUAAAUGUUUGUUGGUUUAGUGUCAUUUACAUGUUACUGAUAAUUUUCUGACUUUGAGAUUUUCUCAAUGCAGCCUAGACACUUUCAGGCCA